rnacentral:rRNA from 1 species
UAUGGUCACAUCAUGUUGAAAUACCAGUUCCUGUAUGAUCACCGAAGUUAAGCAACGUCGAGCCUGGUCAUUACCUAGAUGGGCAACUGCUUGAGAAUAUUAGGUGCUA